AUACUGUAUACAGCAGCUAAAAUUAAAAACCUCCAUCAGAAAGUGUGUGUUCCCUAAUGAACACACACUUUCUGAUGUUCUGUUACCUACCAGCUGAAACCCCCCUUUUCUCCACCCAACUUUACACCACUCUCUUAGCAUGGGUGGCUGUAAGUACACUAGGGCAAACAUAAGUUUCCUUUUCUUUGGGUAGGUUUUUAUUUUUUAUUUUUUAUUUUUUAUUAUUAUUUUUUUUUUCAGUUGUCCCCGCCAUCUUUAACCUGACCCCCAUUAGUACUAUCCUGACUAGCUCACUGUAAACUGAAAAAAAUUAUCAAACUGUCAACCAAAAGUAAACACAUCACCUGUAGGUACAGUAGAGUAAAGCUAAGUUUCCUUUUGUUUGGGUAUUUUUUUUUUUCUUCUUCAGUUGUCUCUGCCAUCUUUGACCUGACCAUUAGUGCUGUCCUGACUAGCUCACUUAUGAGCAGAAAAAAAUUAUCAAACCGUCAACCAGAAGUAAACACAUCACUUUGGACCACUCAAAGACACAGUCUACCUGCUGUUUAACCCAGUCUUUGGUCAGAGGUGAAGAAGAGAUGACAUCCUCCACACCAUCCCCCUGCUGCUCUCAACAACCAUCAUCGCUGUGCUGGACAGAUUGCAGCACCCACCAGGACCCUUCUCUCAUGGACUACACAAACAUGUGUUUUACCUGCUCAUGCUCCAGAUGUCCUGAAGCAGCUCUCAAGGACCACCAGACACCAGGCUGAAGCAGAACUGAUGCUGUAGUACCUGUCACUCACUGGGCUCGUUCCUGCUGAACCUCCAAGAGAUAAACCCCUCUUCAAGAACGUCUGAGGUAAUGUCUUAGUGAACUUGUGUUCAUUUAUUUUUUCUUAGUUAUCUUAGCUGCUGUAUUAAUGCUUGUGAUGCUAUUGUACAGCUCUGCUGAUAUCAUCGUCUUUAACAGCAGUGUUUUCUCCCAGGUCUUCUUCAAGCCAGUUAAGAGAGGAAGAACAGCUUAGACACUCAGGCAGCUGAACGCACCAAAGGUGGACAUCAUGCAGCCACCCUGAGCCUUGAGCCUCUCUGUGUGAGGAAGCUUUGCUGCUGCAGACCUGGUGAAGUUGCUCUGGACAGAAAUAUUUUUGCUCUGCUGCAGUGCUGAAG